UACGGAGGGAGCUAGCGUUGCUCGGAAUUACUGGGCGUAAAGGGAGCGUAGGCGGACAGUUUAGUCAGAGGUGAAAGCCCAGGGCUCAACCUUGGAAUUGCCUUUGAUACUGGCUGUCUUGAGUACGGGAGAGGUGUGUGGAACUCCGAGUGUAGAGGUGAAAUUCGUAGAUAUUCGGAAGAACACCAGUGGCGAAGGCGACACACUGGCCCGUUACUGACGCUGAGGCUCGAAAGCGUGGGGAGCAAACAGG
rnacentral:rRNA from 1 species